GACCAGACUCCUACGGGAGGCAGCAGUGGGGAAUAUUGCACAAUGGGGGGAACCCUGAUGCAGCGACGCCACGUGGGUGAAGGAGCACCUCGGUGCGUAAAGCCCUAUCGGCAGGGAAGAAACAGACGGUACCUGACUAAGAAGCCCCGGCUAACUACGUGCCAGCAGCCGCGGUAAUACGUAGGGGGCAAGCGUUAUCCGGAUUUACUGGGUGUAAAGGGAGCGUAGGCGGCAGGGCAAGCCUGAUGUGAAAGCCCGGGGCUCAACCCCGGGACUGCAUUGGGAACUGCCCCGCUCGAGUGCCGGAGGGGCAGGCGGAAUUCCUAGUGUAGCGGUGAAAUGCGUAGAUAUUAGGAGGAACACCAGUGGCGAAGGCGGCCUGCUGGACGGUGUACUGACGCUGAGGCUCGAAAGCGUGGGGAGCGAACAGGAUUAGAUACCCCGGUAAA
rnacentral:rRNA from 1 species